AGAGUUUGAUCAUGGCUCAGGACGAACGCUGGCGGCGUGCCUAACACAUGCAAGUCGAGCGAAGUAUAUCUAAGUGAAGUUUUCGGACAGAACGAAGAUAUAUCUUAGCGGCGGACGGGUGAGUAACGCGUGAGCAACCUGCCUUUCACAAAGGGAUAGCCUUGGGAAACUGGGAUUAAUACCAUAUAAAACUUACCUUUCGCAUGAAAGGAAAGUCAAAGCGAUAAGCGGUGAAAGAUGGGCUCGCGUCCUAUUAGCUAGUUGGUGAGGUAACGGCUCACCAAGGCGACGAUAGGUAGCCGGCCUGAGAGGGUGAACGGCCACACUGGAACUGAGACACGGUCCAGACUCCUACGGGAGGCAGCAGUGGGGGAUAUUGCACAAUGGAGGAAACUCUGAUGCAGCGACGCCGCGUGAGUGAAGAAGGCCUUCGGGUCGUAAAGCUCUGUCCUAGGGGAAGAUAAUGACGGUACCCUAGGAGGAAGCCCCGGCUAACUACGUGCCAGCAGCCGCGGUAAUACGUAGGGGGCGAGCGUUGUCCGGAAUUACUGGGCGUAAAGAGUUCGUAGGCGGUUUGAUAAGUCAGAUGUGAAAGGCGUAGGCUUAACCUAUGUAAGCAUAUGAAACUGUCAGACUUGAGGUAAGGAGAGGAAAGUGGAAUUCCUAGUGUAGCGGUGAAAUGCGUAGAUAUUAGGAGGAAUACCAGUGGCGAAGGCGACUUUCUGGACUUAAACUGACGCUGAGGAACGAAAGCGUGGGGAGCAAACAGGAUUAGAUACCCUGAUAGUCCACGCCGUAAACGAUGAGUGCUAGGUGUCGGGUAGAAAUAUUCGGUGCCGCAGCUAACGCAAUAAGCACUCCGCCUGGGGAGUACGUACGCAAGUAUGAAACUCAAUGAAUUGACGG
rnacentral:rRNA from 1 species